rnacentral:rRNA from 1 species
AUGAGCUCUUACAGUGUUGUAAGAUUGAAGGUUCAAGAUACUAUACUUCAGUACAGACCUGUUCAUCUUUACUUGAAAUCUAAUUUGCAUGUUGGUUGUUCUUCAGGAAUCAGGGUACUAAUUUGUGAUAUGAUUGGUGAAAGAGGUAUUUUGCACGAUUCAUUUAUGUCCUACAUGUCUUUUCUCUCUUUAUAUAUAGUAGCAUUAUUUGAAAAUGUCCUUGUAUUUCCUCUGAGAACCUCACACCUGAAUAUCAUUAUAUAUGCUUGUGAAAAAGUUCUGUAUGUUCUUUUGAGUUAA